rnacentral:rRNA from 1 species
CAGUCGCCGCGGUAAUACGAAGGGGGCUAGCGUUGCUCGGAAUGACUGGGCGUAAAGGGCGCGUAGGCGGCUGACACAGUCAGAUGUGAAAUUCCUGGGCUCAACCUGGGGACUGCAUUUGAGACGUGUUGGCUUGAGUGGAGAAGAGGGUCGUGGAAUUUCCAGUGUAGAGGUGAAAUUCGUAGAUAUUGGAAAGAACACCGGUGGCGAAGGCGGCGACCUGGUCUUUAACUGACGCUGAGGCGCGAAAGCGUGGGGAGCAAACAGGAUUAGAUACCCGCGUAGUCCCUGUCUCUUAUAC